GCUUAGGAAAAGAAAACUAAAAAAAGACUAUGUAGGGGAGGUGGUUUAGCAGCCAUUCUGUUUGGCUGUGAGGGUUUCGGAAAGGCAUCAUGAACUGGGAAGAGUCGAUGCAGCUCCUGGCACACAGAAAAUGUUCAACUAAUACCCACCAAACUGAAAACCCAGCAAACUAUGAAAACUCAGCAAGAAAAAUAGACAGAAAAGAAGUGGGUCCAAGAAAAUGAUGCCUCCAAAAAGCAGCAAAGGGCAAGUGGAGCAGGAGGAUGCCGUGCUUUAAAAACAGCCACAGGCCGGGUGUGGUGGCUCACGUCUAAUCCUAGCACUUUGGGAGGCCGAGGCGGGCGGAUUGCCUGAGCUCAGGAGUUCGAGACCAGCU
rnacentral:lncRNA from 1 species